UAGGUGUACCUUUAACGCUAACCACUUGAUAUUAUGGGGGGGAUCAACUUAGCGCGGCAUUGACUCCAAUUGUUUAAACAAAUGCAGCCGUGUAGCGCUGCGUUACUUUGCAUCAUGUUAUACGUUAUAAAAGAUCGCGGUUUCUUUGCCGAGUAGAUUUACGGCACGAAAAUUAGUGAAAGUUUUUUAUCAGUUUUAAUGAACGCAUUUUCAAGUGCAUUGAGGCCUGCUUUGCUUGCGGCUUUAGCUACAUUUUUGCGACUUUAGUGGUCAUCGAUCUGAGAUCGGAAAUGGAUCUAGAUAUUGCUACUGCAGAACUAGAGUCGUUUUCCGCCACCCCAAUAAAAUCCGUAGAUUUUAACAUUUCGGAUUUGUCCAUUUUCGAAAUAAGUGAAAACACUGGAGUAAGACCGCUUUCCGAUCCGGUAUACGAACAAUUCCUAGCUGAUGUUUGGGUGGGCAUAGUGCUGACACUAAUGGUACUCAGUUGUGUGUGUUUUAUGUGUUCGUGUUUGAUUUACCACAAAUUUCAGGAAUGGAAAAAUGGAGUUAUCGAGGCCCGAAAUGCCGCCAAUUUGGAAGCUGGGGUGCCAGAAUCUGACCUGCCUAGUUACACUAUUGCAUCAGGUUUGCCCACUUACGACGAGGCUUUGGAACAAUUGAAGAAGGUUAAACAGAAUCAAUGUAGUGACACAUUCUUCACUAAUGAAUCAUUUAACAGUGGAGGAGACAGUGCAAUUAAGUCGCAUGCAUCUAGGAGCCCUACAAGUCGUGAUUUAGGCAAUACUUUGUCUUUGACUCAUUUACUUGAAAUUUAUAACAAGAACGCGGGGAGCCAUUCGUCAAAGACGUAGCUAUGUUAUCGCAAAAUAUGUUUUGCUGUUUUGACUGAAAUGUGAGGCUUCCUACGAGACCAUUGUAGGUUUAGAAUUAUGUUAAGCAUUAUUUCUUAAAACAGUAGGUUCUCGUUAACAUGAAGACACCUUUUGACUCGGAAAAUUUUGUAUUGGUUCAAUAGUACCCUGCCACAUAUCUUUAAAAUUUAACACUAUAAAAACUAAGCACUAGACAUAUUCAAUUAACGAUGCCACAGUAUUAUUUUUACGUAUUUUUAUAAUGCACAGUACGAUACAAAUUUAUCGAUUUAAACACUUCAGUGAAAUGCCACUUCAGGGUUUUCGAAACACAUUUAGGAAAACUUUUGACAAUAUAUGCAGGCAAACUUUUCUUGUGUUUUUCGACUUGUUGCAUAUCAAGAAUGAGUUUUGCGGACUGAGUUAUUUUUACUGUUUAUAUUAACUGCCCCGAAAUUACUCUUGUAUAGUAGCAACAUCACGCCCGGUUGGAAAAAAUCGAUAAAAAUGUUUUUAUUUUGCGGUUCUAGUUGCACCAUAUUUUAGAAAAGUGUGGACACUAUUUUUUAUAAAUUUAUGCGUAUUUUGCCCUCAACGCUACCCAUUUCCAAUCGUUUUAUAUGCUAUAGGUAGCCGAAGUCAAUAAAAAGGCGGCUUAUCUAUAUGAGGGCGAUAGUUGAUAUUUGCAAUUCGAAACGUUAAUUCAACAUUGAAUUAGCCUUCAGAGGAUUUUAUAUUUUAUAUCCUUGCAGCUUGCAAAUUCGACCGACGUUUCAGAGAAGAAAGAAAAACUACUAGGAAAGUGGAAUUUUCAAUACAUAGAAGAUGACCGCAUCGUUUGUUAAUGCUUUAGUUUCUCAUUCUGAGGUGCAAUAAAAUAAGGAAUCCCAGUUCUGUAAGCUUCUAAUUCGCCUAUCUGGAGAGAGCGCACUUUUAGGUUUAUGGUUAUAGGAAACAACAACAUUUAUUUUGACAUACAUAUAAAAUAUGCCCAUAAAAUGCUCACGGUACAUUUUGAUUUCUUUGUAUUGAUAUGGUUCAUUAGUCUUAUUAUUAUUACUUAUUUAUGAAUCAAUCAAAGCAUGUAAGAACUCGUAGCAAUUAAUGCUACUUCAAAGCAUAUGCAAUAUACAUACAUAUAUGAAAAAUACCCUGAGUACUUCUCAAAAGUAACGCCUUAACAAUUGUAUGCUUUGCACAUUUGUUUUAGUGCAGUACGGGAACUCUGUUUUGAAAUGGCAACGUUAUGUUUUGUGAAAAAAUCCAGAAGAAAACUAUUUAAUUUUAAAUUAUUAAAUUUGAACUUAAUGUAAGGAACAGUUUGUAUGUUAAACAGAGUUUUCCAUCACAAACAUUCACGAUCAAAAUGAAAAUAAAAUACAGAUUGAAAAUUAUUUUCAAUAAAAACCGAUUAAAAAAAUAAGCGACCAAACUUUCUCUUUUUGAAAAAUCUCCUGUUGACAACAUCAUACGAAAAACACGAAUUUUACAUCAGAAUUUCAAUCCACUGAACAGUUUUAAAAACAAUGUGCAAUUUUGACUCAAAAAAUGUCUUUGGUUGCGUUCUCCCCAGAAAAAUACACUUUAUCAAUCAAAAAGUGGCGCAUUACUGCAGGAAAAUGAAAAGAGGCACAUUUUUUAUUUUUGUUUGAGUAAUACAAAAUUUUCACAACUGGAACAUCAAAUAAUUAGCAAAACUCUGUUCAAAUGUGCCAGUCAUUUUCCGAUUCACUCAAGUGGUUCAAACUGAACCGAGUGUUGCCAGAACCAUUGCUUCAUCCUCGUUGGAGAAAUUAAAUAAAUAAAUAGCAGACAGCGACGAUAAGAACAAAUUUUGCUAGCUGCGCGCUUCAAAUUCAUUGAUGCGAAUUCUGAUUAGAAAAUCAGCUUUUUGUGACAAAACCUGAACAAUAAAAGCAAAAUAAGCCCAGUCCCAUAAAGCCAAUUAUGACAUCAGAAUUGCAAUCCUCAAUUGCUUUCGCCAAUUGAAUCGCACGAUAAAAUCUAUAAAAUUAAAAUCAGUUAUUGAAAGUAAUUGAAUUUAUCAACUGAUAAACGUGUAAACGUUGUUUCAACCUUAUAUUGAAUAGAUUUACUUAUUUUGAUUUUGUUACAAGGGUCACAAAUGUUCAUUUCAUCGAUGUCAAACAAGUACACUUUUCCUACUAUAAAUUUAAUGCCAUAAAAAACCAAUUUUUUACGUUUGCCAUGCAAGAUGUUACAACCUUUCGGUCGAUUUCUCGCGAAUUAGCAUAGCAAUAUUCGUGUCAAAGACACUGUUUUAAGGAGCCUUAAUAGUUCAUUUAGGCAUAGAUGUAAGUCACCUUGUAUAACAAACUAUCCCUAUACAAAGAAUUUCGUAAUUAUGUGAAUUAGGAAGGGAAUUUUAAAGACAUUCUCUGAAGGUUUUUUUCUUAGGCAUUUUUAAAGACAUUAAUGAAUGAAGCAAAUGGUGUAAAAAUAUAGUUAUUUCUCAUAAAUGAAUCGUUUAUUGUUAAAACAUAGAAAGGCAAAAAUGCCGUCCGCAUAUUAGACGGUUGCUAUGUGCAAUCAGCUUACUUAUUUUAUGUGAACUAGUAGGCAUUCACAAGGAAAUUCAUUAGGAAGCGUAUUCAUAAGGAAAUUAAAAUUGAUGAUAAUAUUUAUCGUUUUUAAAUUCAAUGUAAUGUCAAGGAGUCUCCUUGUUGGAAGUUAAAGUGGAAAAAAAGAUGGCGUAAGAAGAAAAACGGUGUUGAUUUCUUUUAUUAAAAGGCAUUACCUGGACAACACAAGACCACAAUAAUCUAAAAUGCUGAAUUGUACGUUGAAGCAUUUUGAAGAAGAAAAUAGAAACACUUCUAUAUGAAUUUUUCAAAUUUUAUUUAAAAUAUCUUCUUUAAAACUUAAAAUAUCUGCACAUAUUUUUAAUUCACGCUGUAUAUAAGCCGAUUGAAGAAAUAAGGUUGUGUUUGGCAAAAUGUAUAGUUAUUAAUGUAGACAUUCAUAUUUUUACUAUCCAAAACUAUUCGAGAGAUUUUGAACUAAGAGGUUUUGAAUUACUAAUUAAUCUUAACAAUACAGUCAUAUUAGUGAGCACACUUAUGAAGGAAUAUGGACAUGAGGUCCUUAAUUAAUACAAAUUAUAUUGACAGUAAAAGUAUUAACUCUGAUACAAGUACAUAAAAUGCGUUUACAAACAAAUUUCUGGUGACUGCUAUUCACUUUUAAGGCAAAUACGAUCAGGUGAUGUCGGUUUUUCACAUUUGCAACUAGAACUUUAAUUUUUAUUGAAUAUUUUUAUAAUGUCUUAGAAGCUUACUAUAACUCAUUGUGUCUAAAUGCUUAAAACCACAAAAGUUUAUUUCUAUUGUGCUGCAAAUUCUCUUCAUAGGUUGAUGUUAAAGAUACCAAUAGUUAAUAGCUUAAUGCUAAUUGAAAAGUUCGCCUUUUAAAUAAUACCCCAACUGCAUUUGGUGGAAACUAAAUUUUAAUAACAAUUGUGUUAAUUGACCUUAAAAACUUGUUUCAAGUGCAUGACGGUUUGGUUCUACCGGGUUUCUGGAUGGAUUUUAAUCAGAUACAAAAUACCGGUAUUUCAGCUACGAAAAGUAAUGUUUAAUAAUUGUUUUAUUAUAGAGAAAGCGAUUAGCUUAGUUAAAAAGAAAACGCCAUCUAGAUAUGUAGCAUUGAAAACCAAAUUUUGAAUGGAAAAAUUGUUUCUCAGUAAUUAAUGAAAUGUAUAAAUAUGAAUUUAUCAAUUGCGUAUUAAAGAACGACGUGGACGAGGUAGAAAAUUUCGAUCACAACAACGCAUAACCUGCGUUAAUAAGCCGAAUAAUAUUGGGUGUUAAUUGCUUAGGUUGCUUAGUUAAAAUGCCGUAAAAAAUGUCAGUCAUGUUAUACGAGCAACUGCUACGCAGAGUAUUUCAAUUUAGUAUCAUUAGGAAAUUACCAUAAUCGAUUGAACUAUAAGUUUUACUGCGUGACAUUGGGAGACACAUUUAAAACUGAUCAAUGAAAAUACUUAAUGUUGGCAAGAGGUACAGUAAUUUCAAAGUUUUUCUAGUGCUAAAUGAACAUGUUUGCAACAAUUCAUUGAUGUUGGAUCAUUUUUGAAGGAGUCUAAUUUUAACAUACAUUUCUGUUACUAGUUGUAGGUUAUUUAAAGGGCUGUGUUAGUUUAAGACGCUAAAAGUAAGAAAUUAAUCGUUGGGAUAUAUUAUUUUUAAGUAAAAGAUUGAAAUGGUAGUGUUGACUGAAAUUUUGAAAAACUGUGAAAAGAGGAAGAUGGUGGGAACAUGGCAUUGAGACCUUCAGAACCACAAACCGAUUAGAUAAUCACCAAGCUUUUGGAAAUUUAAUUUUCUCCUUCUGGUAGGUUAUUCAAAAAUAUUAAAUAAAAAAUAAUCCUUAUGUUUUGCGGUUGAGCUUCGAGAUCGUCUUUCACAUUAUCAAACUUACCUAAUUAUAUGGACGUGGUUAUAUCAGUCCGAUCUCGAUAUGUAGUCGUGAUAAUUGCUGUUGUAAUAAGUUCAUAAUGAAACAAAAUAAUGGUCAGACACAGAUUGUCACAAUAAAAUGAAAUAAAGAGAUUAGUGAUGUUCAAAUGUUUUUUCAACUUUUAGAACAAUUUGAUGCUUAUUGCCUGAUAAGAUUUUAUUCUGAGUAAAACAUUAAUGGUAUUUUUUGUUUUUAUUCGGUUUUAAUUCACUUGUGUUGGCCACAACAGACUCAUUCCAAUAUCUUCCACACUAAGUCUUUUAAUAUGUAAUUAGACACUCAUGUUUGCAUAUGUAGAAAUUUAUUUUUAUGUAGAUAUAAACUAAAAAUGAAAUUGUUUCCAAUAUUUUAUAUUACUACGUUUCGACCUGCUAUGCAAUAUCAUCCGAAAGUUAUUUAUUUCGGUUAACGAUAAUAUUAAUUCAACCAUUAGUAGAUAGGAAGGUUCAAAUAAUUGGCAGUGUUUUUUUCAAAGUAACUAUCAACAAUUUUAUGUUUAUGAAUAAUUGGUAAGAUUAAACUGCAGGUUCAACUACUUAUCUAAGAAUACAUGUUCUAUUUAAUUAAAAUACUUAGUUAGCAAUGACGCAUAUAAUUGGUUACCAUUUUUUAGUCAUAAGUUUAUUCAAUUGUGAUAUUUCAACAUAAUAAAAUUAAAAAUUAA